rnacentral:tRNA from 3 species
GGAGAGAUGGCUGAGUGGUUGAUAGCUCCGGUCUUGAAAACCGGUAUAGUUCGAAAAAACUAUCGAGGGUUCGAAUCCCUCUCUCUCCU